rnacentral:rRNA from 1 species
UAAUACAUGCAAGGCGAGGGCGCAGCAAUGUGACCGCCGUACGGGUGCGUAACGCGUAUGCAACCUACCCAUCACAGGGGGACAGCCCAUGGAAACGUGGAUUAAUACCGCAUAAAGCAGGGGCUUCGCAUGGAGAUACUGCUAAAGAUUUAUCGGUGAUGGAUGGGCAUGCGUCUGAUUAGCUAGUUGGUAGGGUAACGGCCUACCAAGGCUAUGAUCAGUAGGGGAGCUGAGAGGUUUUCCCCCCACACGGGCACUGAGAUACGGGCCCGACUCCUACGGGAGGCAGCAGUAGGGAAUAUUGGGCAAUGGGUGCAAGCCUGACCCAGCCAUCCCGCGUGCCGGAUGAAGGCCCUCUG